AUGGACGAUCAGAGUUAUUUUGAACUUUUGCAAAGUGAUGUCGGAUUGAAUGAUUUGCACUGGACCGAAGAAGAACAAAUGGAUCUCGAAAAGGAUGAAGAAGAACAAACUGAUCUCGAAGGGCCUGCAGAACCUACCCCUCCUAUGACAGCAAGGUCUUUGAAAGCAAAGGGGAAGAAAUCAAGCGCCUCGAAACCAAGCGCUUCGAAGAGGCAAAAGAAUUUCAGCAAGGCUGAAGAUUUAACUUUGGUGGAUGCAUACCUUGAGAUAACUCAAGAUCCAAUCAUAGGAGUUGACCAAUCUCGUGAUUGUUAUUGGAAAAGAAUCGAUGCUUAUUUCCAUGCCAAUAAAUCUGAAGACCAUGGUCGCACACAAGGUUCUCUUCAGCAUCGUUGGGCUAUUAUUCAAGAACAAGUGAAUAGAUUUUGUGCAUGUUAUAGUCAGGUCCUGAAUAGGAACCAAAGUGGGAUGACACGUGAAAAUAAGCUAUGUCAAGCGAUUGUUCUCUAUGCCAAUGGAGACAAGGCAAAUAAAUCAUUUGGAUUGAUGCAUUGCUUUAAUAAGUUGGAAGACACCGAGAAGUGGAAAUCUCGGCCCCAGGAAAAACAGAAGACAUCCUCGUUGGAUACUCCUAAUUCAUCAUCUGCUAGUUUGUUUGAGGAUGAAGCUACAUCUCCCUCUAAAUUUGUCCCCAAGAAAAGGCCACCUGGAAUCAAGAGGGCUAAAGAUGCAGCAUGGCGGGCUCAAAGUUCUUCUAGUACAGUUAAUAGUAGUGCCAUGGAAUCAUUUGGGGGUAUCUUGGAGACAAGGGAGUCAAAAAGACAAGAGCGAUUUGAGCUCAUGAUUGCAAUGGACAAACAGAGAGAAGAAGAUAUGUUGGUAGAAGAAAGAAAGAAACUUGCAAUACAAGAAAAAAAGAUGGAAUUAGAAGAAAAAAAGAUAUGA
rnacentral:rRNA from 1 species